rnacentral:pre_miRNA from 1 species
UUUAAACGUAACAAUAAGUUUUCGUGAUCGUUCGUCUUAUUUAAAAUUUUUUUAUGAUUAAUAUUUUUAUUGUUAUUAGAUGAUAAAACAUGAAUAGUACUUUUAUGUAUGACUUAUGUUUUUCUAUUAUUUUUUUAAAUAAGAUAGACAAUUAAAGUUGAAUAUGAAAACUCAUGACUACGCUUGAA